GUAAACGCUCUAGUUCCUUUUUUCUGUUUCUGAGUAGAGAAAUUAAGGUACGAGGAGCUUCUAAUUGUUCCAUUUGGUUUACAGCAUCUGGCGGUUGUUAAGCUUUUAAGUCUCCUCGGCGUUUCAUGAAUAUGUUCAAAUAGGUUUUGUAUUGGAAUCCGAUGUCCUCAGUUUGAGAUCCAAGGUGUUUUCAUUCUCAUGUCUGAAUUGGAAUCACGAGAGAGCUCAAAGAGUAUCCAAUUGAAACUGUGCAAUUCACGAGCCAAAUUUGAGUAAGCUGUUGUCUUGAAGAAAUUGCAGGGAUACAAACCAUCGUGCCCUAGGCAGCUCUCAUCACGACUGGCUUUCAUUUCCAGGAGAACUCAUGCUGGCCACACUCAGGCGUGAGAAUCAAGAGAAGCCAUUUCUGUUGCUUGAAGUGAAAAAAGACCUGGGAGAUAAAAUGACAAAGCUAUUUGUCUUUGUUUUUGGAAGGUCAAAGGCAAAUGGUUACAUUACAGCUAGAGUCAAAUGUUCUACAAUUCAAAACAACAGGAGAAACAAUUAUGUUCUCUGUUGUGAUGCAGAAUUGAUGCCCAACAAUUGAAUUCGUCCAUUUUUUCUGCUUGAUUUUUCAGUUCAUGAUCUUCUUUGUUUAGAGUGGGUGUAGAAUUGUUUUAUCUUCUUGUUUUGAGUGGGUGUAAAAUUGUUUUUUGGGUAUAAGAAUUAAAUUCAUUGCCCGUUUAUCUAGUCUUGCCAACUGUUCCACACUAAAGCGGAUUCUCACUUAUCUGCCUGAUUUUUUGGGAUUUUUAUAAUGGAUGGUUAUGUCUUGUACAAAGAAUAGAAAUACAACUUUUAGCUCUCCCCGCUUCUACCCUGGUGGUCUCAGAUUCACUUUUCACAGAACAUGACUCAGAUAACAAAUGUUAACACAAGUACAUUAUUGCAAGCUUGAAGAUCUAGCAAGUUCUGUUUGAGUGUAGAGACAAACGAGGGAGCUAUUUUAGGGCUUCAAAAGCCAUGUGACCGCAGUGCUUGUGUGUUUUGUAUUCUCCUGCAAGUGUCAAAGUCUUGAGUUAAAGCCUUAGAGGAGGUAAUAACCAGUUUGGCCCCUUUUUGGUUGAGGCUUUGGUGGGUAGCCUAAUCAGCAUCGUCUUGCUCUCUUAACUUGUUUUGUUCAAUGGACUCUCGAAUGUCAUGUGAUCAGUCUUAGAAUUUUGGGCUUGUCACUAUUAAACUAAGCAUCUCCCAUGUGUUUUACUUAUUAGUCCUUUUAAUUUGACUAUGGCUUCCUUUUCUUUUGAAAGAAGUUGCAUCAUUUUCUUUAAUUUACCCCUCAAUACUCGGUGAUUCGGCAACAGCCUGUGAUAAUUUCCAGUAACAAAGUCUCUUUGAACCUUCAAAAUGUUGAACAUGUUUAGUGGUCCAGCUAGAUCCUUGCAGUAGCUUUGAAUUUACCUCUUAAUUUAUUUUGGAAACACUCCUUGCUGUUUUGCUUCUUCUUCUUUUUUUGCUUUCUAACUUUGCAUCUUUUUAUCUACUAGGUUUAGUUUACACCUUCAAUGGUCGACUGCUGGGGAGUUCGGUCAAUCAUGGACCUGAAAGAUUCCAUUGUGAAAUUACUAAUAAGUAGUUUCAGUGACAUGAACAACAUGACAGAUGUGUGGCUAUAGAGAGCAUGUUAGCAAUUACAGUGGUAAUAGAAUACAAGGCCCUCCUUUUGCAUGCUUCUCGUUUAAGACUGUUGAGUUCAACAUUGACACUUUAUUUAGUUGUAGUUUAUGCACCUGUAUAAACAUCAGAUGAGAAGGCUGGUAAUUUGCUGGACUAGUCCUAGAUUCCGAAAUCAAAAUGUGUUUGGCUACCCACCCCCUUCUAGGGGUUUUAAUAGAGUUAACUUCGAAUUCUUGGGAUUUAGUAAAAAUGGUGCGAUUUGGUUGGUCAUUUAA